UACAAGCCCAGUGCUACCCCCUCUCUAACACCCUCAUUUUUUUCACUAAAAUGUCUUAGGGUGUCAGGUCUCUUGUUUCAUAAGAUUUUUUUUCUUUCCCAAGCCCCUUUAGAGGAGGGCAGGAAUCAAACGGGUUUGAUCAAAGGUGUCACUGCUGAAGAAGAAAUGACAUCAACAUUUAAUUCCGACUUUAAGUUGAAGAGGCUGUUAUUUUCAACGUGUAGCUGGAUGUGAAGUGACUGCCGCAAAAUUGAAGAGAAAAGGGAAGAAGGAAAACAAAAACGAAAACAAGGACAAGACCAAAAACUCCACCUCCAGCAGCAAUGAACUUCGCGUUUUCCGUGGGAAAUGAUAUUUUCUCAAACUCACCUAUUCUGCCCGGAGAAAAUACUACAGAGAACCAUUCACGAGAGGAGCUUCCUUCCUUCUGAUCCUGGGAAGGGUCCAGAGACCCAGGGAACUAUCUAGAAGCAGAAGUUGGUCGUUCUGAGUUUUCCGUCCAAAUGGUUUGAUUAUGAAAUUGACUCACCCUGAGGAAUGGCUGGUGGAUUUGGUUCGCGACAUGAGGAAUCCGCUCCAUACUGGAAGGAAGAAAAUCUCCGGCAGAUAUGCCUGGCGAGUUCUUAAGGACUGGGGAGGUACUCCUUCUCUGUGGCCCCCUCAAAAUGCCCGGUGGUUAUAUCUGUUGCUCCACUACAAGUUAUUAUAAUUAACUGCUUGUGCUACUCUUUGUGCUAUCUUGUUCUUCAUUCUCCUGGUACCUCGGGUGCCCGCACAGAAUGGUAGGCUGCUCGAUAGUUUAAUGAAUGGGGAAAAGGUGUGCAGAGGUCAUUUCCGCUGAUUAUCAAGACUUCAAUUCUUCAAAGUGGAGCACGAGGAUCCUCUAGGCGUCAGGCAAAUGUCUUUAGGAGUCUCAACGUCUUCCCCCCUCCAAAAAAUACUUUCAACAGAAAUCAAUUUACCUCCUCAUUGGUGGUGGAAUGGGAAGAUGGUGGAGAAAGCUGUCCUUUAAUAACAGUUCGGAGGUCUUCUCCGACAAAGGACUUUGUGCGUACCUUUUCUUUCCCAACUCCCGCAGCUAUGGCUGUUGGAAGACUAAGGACUUCCACUCAGCUAGGCUUCCGCGCCUCCUCCCGUCCGGGCGCAGCUACUGUUCCUGGUACACAUUCGCUGCGCCUCGGGCAGCCUAAGGGUUCUCCAGUUAAACAAGCUCAGCAUCCAGUUCUUUUCAGACAGGGAACACACUGGCGAUGCAAACAGGGUUGAGUUGGUUCAGGUAUGCAUGUGUUGAAAUAGACAAGUCUGCGCCCUAGAGUCCUCGCAAAGAUCCUGAACAGGCAGCUCAUUUUCCUGGACAAUUUCCCAGGAAUUAAGAGUGCGGCUCAGUUCUAGUUUGGAGUCCAACUCUAGUUUGGUAGCCAGCAAAUACAUUUCGAAUGGAAAGAGGAAUUCAGACCAUUUCUGGAGUGACAAUGGCAUCCACGAGCGAGCGCUCUAAAUUUUCAGGUCACUUUCAGGUUUCUUGGAUUUCUAUUUUGAGGACAAAGAGGAUAACGUUAGCCUCCAUGACCCUGCUGAGUAUCUAGGAAAAUUUCAAGAAUUUGAGGGAGGCCAUGUCCUAAUAUCUGGUCUGAGUGGGCCUCUUUGGAUUUGGAGGCUGUUUCCAAUAGACACAAGAUAAAAACUGAAGAUUUAACAGAGCAUAGCGGUUAGCCAAGCUGGGCCCUUAGGCUUCAAAAUAUUGUUACCCACCGUCCUCCACAAUUUUUUAAAACUAUGUACAUCCCCACACACAUUUUUGAUAAAGUAAUAUGUAUCUUAAGAUUAAGCAGAUGCUUUUCUUUGUAUUAUAAUUAUUGACAUUUUAAAAAAUUAAAGUGUUGCAUAAUUCUUGAA